GCAUUGGUGGUUCACUAGUAGAAUGCUCGUCUACCACGCGGGCGAUCCGGGUUCGUUUCCUAACCAAUGCA
rnacentral:tRNA from 1 species